rnacentral:tRNA from 1 species
GGCCCCAUCGUCUAACGGUUAGGACAUUGCCCUCUCACGGCAGAAAUAGGGGUUCGAUUCCCCUUGGGGCUACCA